rnacentral:rRNA from 1 species
CCGCCUGCCCUGUGACUAUAUGUUUAACGGCCGCGGUAUUUUGACCGUGCGAAGGUAGCGCAAUCACUUGUCUUUUAAAUGGAGACCUGUAUGAAAGGCACCACGAGGGCUUAGCUGUCUCCCCUUUAAAGUCAAUGAAAUUGAUCUCCCCGUGCAGAAGCGGGGAUAUACUCGUAAGACGAGAAGACCCUAUGGAGCUUAAGAUACAAGGCGAGUCGUGUCAAACACCCCCUUAAAGGAAAUGAACGAAGUGAACUCCGCUGGAAUGUCUUCGGUUGGGGCGACCGCGGGGAAAGACAAAACCCCCACAUGGACCAGGGCCACUAUAGCCCUAAAACCCAGACCCACAGGUCAAAUCAACAGUAAAUCUGACCACCAAAGAGCCGGCAAUGCCGAUCGACGGACCAAGUUACCCUAGGGAUAACAGCGCAAUCCCCUCCCAGAGCCCUUAUCGACGAGGGGGUUUACGACCUCGAUGUUGGAUCAGGACAUCCUAAUGGUGCAGCCGCUAUUAAGGGUUCGUUUGUUCAACGAUUAAAGUC